CCCUAUGGCCCGCCGGCUUUUAGCUAUGCGCCGGUCCCACAGCUGCAGUGCUCCCUCAGUCCCUGGAGUUCCCAGCCAAGCCACAGACCUGCCUCUGAGGAAAGGAAUCGAGCAGGGAGUAGGAGGGGACCUCUGGGGACUCGGGCCUGCUGCUGUGUUGUGAGCCACCUUAUGGAAAACCCAUGUGGCACAGAACCAAGGGUGGUGGCUGGCCAACAGCGAGCCAGGAGCUGAGGCCCACAGUCCAACAACUGGUGAGGAACCACACGCUGCCAGUAGCCAUGUGAGAGAACUUAGAAGCAAAUCCUUCCCCAGCUGAGCCUUCAGAUGACACCAGAGCCUUGGCUGACCCCUUAAUUUUACCCUUGUAAGAGACUUUGAGCCAGAAGACUUGGCUAAACCACACCUGGAUUCCUGACCCACAGAAACUUGAGAUAAUAAAUGUGUUGUUUUAAGUCA